rnacentral:rRNA from 1 species
UACGAAAGGGGCUAGCGUUGCUCGGAAUCACUGGGCGUAAAGCGCACGUAGGCGGGUUCUUAAGUCAGGGGUGAAAUCCUGGAGCUCAACUCCAGAACUGCCUUUGAUACUGGGAAUCUCGAGUCCGGGAGAGGUGAGUGGAACUGCGAGUGUAGAGGUGAAAUUCGUAGAUAUUCGCAAGAACACCAGUGGCGAAGGCGGCUCACUGGCCCGGUACUGACGCUGAGGUGCGAAAGCGUGGGGAGCAAACAGG